rnacentral:rRNA from 1 species
AACACAUGCAAGUCGAGCGAGAAAGGCCUUCGGGCUGAGUACAGCGGCGGACGGGUGACUAACGCGUAGGAAUCUACCUGGUAGUGGGGGACAACAUGGGGAAACUCAUGCUAAUACCGCAUACGCCCUAUGGGGGAAAGCGGGGGACCUUCGGGCCUCGCGCUAUCAGAUGAGCCUGCGUAGGAUUAGCUUGUUGGUGAGGUAAAGGCUCACCAAGGCGACGAUCCUUAGCUGGUCUGAGAGGAUGAUCAGCCACACUGGGACUGAGACACGGCCCAGACUCCUACGGGAGGCAGCAGUUGGGAAUAUUGCGCAAUGGGCGAAAGCCUGACGCAGCCAUGCCGCGUGUGUUAAGAAGGCCUUAGGGUUGUAAAGCACUUUCAAUUGGGAAGAAAGGUUGCGUGUUAAUAGCACGUAGCUGUGACGUUACCUUUAGAAGGAGUACCGGCUAACUCCGUGCCAGCAGCCGCGGUAAUACGGAGGGUGCAAGCGUUGUUCGGAAUUACUGGGCGUAAAGCGCGUGUAGGCGGCUUGGCAAGUCGAGUGUUAAAUCCCAGGGCUCAACCUGGGAACUGCACCCGGAAACUGCUUCGCUAGAGUNCCGGAGAGGGUGGCGGAAUUUCCGGUGUAGAGGUGAAAUUCGUAGAUAUCGG